rnacentral:rRNA from 1 species
AUGAGCUCUUGGCAGGAGAACACCAGCCCCUGCAACUGGACGGGCUUAAUGUGCACGGCUGUUCGCCAUGGCCGCCGCAUCCCCUGGGUGGUGACCAACAUCUCUCUGCCGGAUGCUGGCAUCCAUGGAAAGCUUGGUGAGCUCAACUUUUCGGCUCUUCCAUUCCUCCCAUAUAUCGACCUUCAUAACAAUAGUCUCCAUGGUGCACUGCCCACUAGUAUCAGCUCGCUGUCAGCACUUUUAGAACUCAUCCUUGAGCAGAACCAGCUCGUAGGGAAAAUUCCUUGUGAGAUUGGUGACCUGCAAAGUCUCAUGUUGUUUGAUCUCUCAUUUAACAAACUCACAGGACAUAUCCCUGCAUCUCUUGGUAACAUAACAAUGUUAAGUCAACUUGGCAUUCACCAAAACAUGGUAUCAGGUCUCAUUCCUGAAGAGAUUGGAAGGCUUGUCAACCUCCAAGUUUUGCAACUAAGCAACAACAACUUAAGCGGUUUGAUACCGAAAACCAUUGGUAAUCUGACCAAGCUAAAUAUUUUGUACCUAUUUGGUAAUCAUCUUUCAGGACCUAUACGAAAAGAACUAGGCAUGCUAGUCCAUAUGCAAUAUCUUGAGCUUAAUUCAAAUGAUUUAUCGGGGCCAAUUCCAGUCUCCAUAACCAAUCUCACUAAGAUGAACACACUUUUUCUCUAUGAUAAUCAAAUCACAGGUUCCAUCCCCCCAACAAUAGGAAAUCUUAAUAUGCUGAAUAUACUUUGUCUCUAUCGAAAUCAAAUAACUGGUUCAAUACCCCCAGGACUAGGAAACCUCACUUUGCUAAAUAAGCUUUUUCUCUAUACAAAUAAAAUCACAGGGUCGAUGCCUUCAAAAGUGGGCGGCUUGCUGAAUCUCCAAGGAUUAUACUUGUUCGAGAAUCAAAUAUUUGGCUCUCUUCCUGACAGAUUAGGAAAUAUUACCAAGUUACUUUGCAUUAUCCCUCUCUGA